AUUUGAUGAACAUCUGUCACUUAUUUUUCUUUAUAAUUUCGAUUACGCUCUUAUAGGUGUGGACAGCUACAUCAUCCCUUUGAUAGUAAUAACAUUAAUCCUAGUUGUGCACACCUUAAAAUAAUUUUUAAUUGUGUACUUGGGAUGUGCUAUAACCCAGACAUUUUGAAAAUUUUAUUACAUUUAGUUUCAGCUUUUUUCUAUGUGGGUACAUCUCUACUCCUUUUAACAUCUCCCUCAUUUCUUGCUGUCCUUCUGCUAAUAGUAUUACAUUAUUUGCAUCAUUCAGCAUACAUAUAUAUUAUAAUAUCCUCCAUGCCGGUAUAAGCUCAAGUAGAUAUUUCUUCUACUUAAAAUAUUUUUUUUCCGCAAGACAAAUUUCCGCCAUUUGCAGAACUUUUAAAAUAUUUUGACUUUUCUGUAGUAGACAUUCCUAUAUCUUCAAUGAAACAAUAUAAUUGCUCCAUAUACAGUCUUUUCUGGUGCUCUUAAGCAGAGCAAUCAAUGGAUCUCAUUUUGCCGCAUUUAGUUUCCAUUUAGUCCUCAACAUUCUAAAUACUUUUGCUUCAUUGUAAAUUCUUAUAUUUUAUAAUACUGUGGCCAAUGAUCACAGAAAAUGCAGUUUUUACUUUUUCUUUCAUAAUAUAUCGCUUUGUAUAUUCUAUCGGACUUGAUACUAGCCUAAAAAUAUCAACUGGUGGUCUUACAAAUUUUUAACCUUCUUUGAUUUCUUUUCAAAAUGUUCCAUCAGCAGCUAAUUUAUUGGUUAUGUCUAAUAAAUUGUCAUGUUUUUCCAUGUUAUCUUUAAUUUUAUAAAUUUUUGAUUCAUUGAAAUCUGGAUACUCUCCGUCUGUUAUUUAUUUUUUCUAACAUCGUCAUAUUUUUUAAAUGCCUCAAUAUUUCUGAAUUAAAUAUUCAUCACAAAAUAAUAUACUAUAAUAAGUGAGCCCAUAAUUAUGAAAGUGGUCUAAAUCAAAAUUUAAAAAUUAUGAGUUUAUCAGUUAUUUCACACCACAUUAUUUUAAAUUAAAUUAAUUCAAUAUAAUUUAUACGAUAUUGUAAAAAUAAACCAUUAGAUAGUGGUUGUAAUUUCAACAUUAUAUGGAAUUCAUUUAGUGUUAAUUAUGAGAGUGGUCUAAGUCAAAAAUUUAAAGAAAUUAUAUAAAUUAUAUAAAAUAAAGGCUGUAUGAGAACAUAUUUUAAGUUUCCCAGAAUAUGUAUGAGAGCCACUACACUAGAGCUCAUCACAUUCCUGGUCGAAAAUAUUUGAAUUCUGAUUCAGAUAUUCGUAAAAUGUAUAGCCUAUAUGUAGAGAAAUUUGAGGAAAAAACCAAUUAUUUGUUAAGGAGUGGAUCUACAGGAAAGGAAAAAUCGAAGCAAGCAGUAAUGAGGAAGAGAAGUUACAUCUUAGACAAAGUCAUGAUAUACAUUUGCAAAAUAUCGAACGAGCUAAAAACUAUCUUGCAGAAGACCAAAAAAAAUCAAAAGAAAAUCCCAGGGAAUAUUAUGGAAUCUUAUUUGAUUUGCAAAAAGCACUCCCGUAUCCAAAACUUUCUGUUUCGUUAGCUUAUUAUAAACGAAAUAUGUACGUAUACAACUUGGGUUUCUAUAAUCUUCAUGAUAAUAAUGUCAAGAUGUAUGCAUGGGAUGAAACUAAAGCUUUCAGGAAGUAGCAUCGCGUAUUUUAAUGUAUAUGGAGGAUAUAACUACUCAAAAACACGUAAUAGCUUACAGUAAUGCUUGUUCAGGCCAAAAUCGUAACAUUAAAAUAGUAUUGACAUGGAUGAAAAUUGCUCAGUCAUUAAAUAAUAAUGAUGAAGCGAUAGACCAGAAAUUUUUGGUAUCUGGUCAUUCUUUUCUACCGAAUUACCGUGAUUUUGGGUUGAUAGAAAUGAAAAUUAAAAAAUCAAAUUACUUAUACAACCCUAAGUAUUAUUAUGAAUUAAUAGAAAAGUAUAGAAGAAAUACAUUUUCGGUAAAACGAAUGUCGUAGGCGGAUUUUAUUUUAACGAAACCACUAGAAGAGUCAACGGCAAGAAGAGUAAAAAAUACCGCGGGCGAAUCUGUUUCUUGACUGCAAAUUCAAUGAAUGAGAUUCUUAAAAAAUGAACCUUAUAAGAUAUUUUAUAAAACUUCUUUAGAUGGUUGUAAAUUCCACGUUUUGGAUCUUUCACCUAAAAGAGGAAGACCAAAAAUAUACGGAAAUAUUAAAUUACUUCCAUUAUACACCACCACUAGUCCAGUAAUGGAAGAAAAACAUAAAGAUAUUAUGUGUUUACUAUCAAACAUCCCUUCAAUUUUUAAGAAUCUUAAAAACCCAGAACAUUUUAAGAAUUUUAAAAACUCAUAAUGAGUUUAUUAUAAAGCCUCAAAUGAUAAAAGUGGAUUAUUUUUUAAAAAUAAUUAAUAAAUGUUCAUGAAUUAUUUCAUUAAAAUUAUUGUUUAAAAAUCGUAGUUUUUUAUUACUUUAAGUCAUUUAUAGGACAUUCAGUUAAUUUUGAAAAUAGCCUAAAUCAAUUCAAACUUUAAAAACAUUUUCAUAUGAAA